rnacentral:rRNA from 1 species
CCUACGGGAGGCUGCAGUGAGGAAUAUUGGUCAAUGGUCGGGAGACUGAACCAGCCAAGCCGCGUGCGGGAUGAAGGUACAGAGUAUUGUAAACCUCUUUUGUCAGGGAACAAAGGCGGGGACGUGUCCCCGGAUGAGUGUAUCUGAAGAAAAAGCAUCGGCUAACUCCGUGCCAGCAGCCGCGGUAAUACGGAGGAUGCGAGCGUUAUCCGGAUUUAUUGGGUUUAAAGGGUGCGGAGGCGGUCUGUUAAGUCAGCGGUAAAAGCCCGGGGCUCAACCCCGGCACGCCGUUGAAACUGGCAGUCUCGAGUUGGAGAGAGGUAUGCGGAAUGCGCGGUGUAGCGGUGAAAUGCAUAGAGAUCGCGCAGAACUCCGAUUGCGAAGGCAGCAUGCCGGCUCCACACUGACGCUGAGGCACGAAAGCGUGGGUAUCGAACAGGAUUAGAUACCCGAGUAGUC